ensembl:lncRNA
CACAAGUGUUGUCAUGACUGCAACUGCCUCUCAGACAUUCCUUCAGUACCUCUAGAGUUUACUAAUUGACCUCUAAUUCAGAGUAAACAUCAAUUUGGGAGGGAGAACAAAGAGGAUGAAGAGAUCAGAGAUGGGGAGAAGGAAGCUGGCCUUCUGUAUUGGUAUAAAAAAAGGAAGAAAUACAUUGUCCUUGGUACAGGAGAAGAAAAGCUGUGGGUUCCUUCCAAGCUGAUAAAGAUCAGACAUGACAAGGGAAGACCUCCUGAAGUCCUCGGCAACACAGAAGAAAAGGGAGACUAAGAAAAUCAACAAAUAGUUUUGUGUGCUGCAGGAGGAAAGAAGAGAAAGACAGCCCUG